rnacentral:rRNA from 1 species
AUUGAACGCUGGCGGCAGGCCUAACACAUGCACGUCGAGCGAGCGGCGGACGGGUGAGUACUGUCUGGGAAACUGCCUGAUGGAGGGGGAUAACUACUGGAAACGGUAGCUAAUACCGCAUACCAUCAGAUGUGCCCAGAGGGGAUUAGCUAGUAGGUUGGGUAACGGCUCACCUAGGCGACGAUCCCUAGCUGGUCUGCGAGGAGGACCAGCCACACUGGAAGUGAGACACGGUCCAGAGUCCUACGGGAGGCAGCAGUGGGGAAUAGUGCACAAUUGGCGCAAGCCUGAUGCAGCCAUGCCGCGUGUGUGAAGAAGGCCUUCGGGUUGUAAAGCACUUUCAGCGGGGAGGCGUUACCCGCAGAAGAAGCACCGGCUAACUCCGUGCCAGCAGCCGCGGUAAUAC